rnacentral:rRNA from 1 species
CCUACGGGAGGCAGCAGUGGGGAAUAUUGGUCAAUGGACGCAAGUCUGAACCAGCCAUGCCGCGUGCAGGAAGACUGCUCUAUGAGUUGUAAACUGCUUUUGUAAGAGGGUAAAUCGCGAUACGUGCAUCUGGUUGAAAGUAUCUUACGAAUAAGGAUCGGCUAACUCCGUGCCAGCAGCCGCGGUAAUACGGAGGAUUCGAGCGUUAUCCGGAUUUAUUGGGUUUAAAGGGUGCGUAGGCGGUUCGAUAAGUUAGAUGUGAAAUCCCGGGGCUCAACCCCAGCAUUGCAUCUGAUACUGUCGGGCUAGAGUUUAGUUGCGGUAGGCGGAAUGUAUGGUGUAGCGGUGAAAUGCAUAGAGAUCACACAGAACACCGAUUGCGAAGGCAGCUUACCAAACUACGACUGACGUUGAGGCACGAAAGCGUGGGGAGCAAACAGGAUUAGAUACCCCAGUAGUC